GACCCGCAGGAUCAUGAAUGUGUGUCAUGUUAUGUGUUGUUUUUUUUUAUUGAGAUUCCCUUGUGCUUUUAAAUAAUAAUUAAAACAGAUGACGUUUCAGGAACCCUAAGCCUGUCUGUAGUUGGUUUUGUUCCCAUCCUCCUCCUAGAGCCAGCUAACAGACACCACGCUGGUCUUCCCCUUGACGGACACACGCCUCUGCUCGCGCGUGGUGUGGUGCGGCAGCCCCACCCUGCGCCUCCACCACAGGCCUGGCCCUUGGGGCUUUCAAGACAGGAGGUACCAGCCUGCAGUUGCCAAGUUGAAGCCGAAUGGGGGCGCAGCAGUUCGAAAGAGGGGCGCGCCUUUCCGGUUUGCUCGGAGGGCAGUGUGGACGUGGUGCCUGGUGGUCGGCGUCCCACCCCAGGCCCGCAGCAGGAGCAGCUUCUGGGUCAGAGCCGUGCGGGCCCUCCCACCCUGGAACUAGAGGAAGCCACCACCGCUGCGGGGGGAGACAGCAGCUGCCACCGCCGCUGCCUCUGGCUAGCUGCACACGGUGGGCAGCCAGCAAACCCCGUGCGUCCGGAGGGCUUCUGUGAGAAGAGGUUCCCGUUCCCCGAGAGAACGGGAAAGCUCCGUUGAGUCUGGCCCUUGGAGCCCUCGGUCGGCUGAGGUGCUGGGGUCUCCGUGUCUCUCAGUCUGUAUGCUGUCGCCCCGCGCGGCCCUUGCACCCACUCCCUACAGUGGAGCUGGAGGAGUGGAAUCGGCGCAUCACCAGGUGCUCGGUGAUCAGAGUAUCAGCACAGCCCGCGUCGUGAGGGUAGAGAGUGUUACUCAGUGACGCCGCACAGGUCCCAGUGUCCCAUCCGAGCAGUUUUAAGUUCAAGCAAAGUUGAGAGGAAGGCUCUAAAGACUUCCACACAUGCACAGCCUCCGAAUCAGCGUCCCCCACCUGUCGAGGUGUGCUGGUUACCGUGAGGAACUACGCUAAGGCAUCGGCACCCGAGUGCAGUUACCGUCUUGCCCCCAGUGGUGCAGAAGGCUGAGGAGCCCUGCGUGUGACCCUGUCCUGCUGUGCUUCACUUCAGGCCAGGAGGCCUUCUCGCCCUGCUGUCCGAGGGUGCAGUUUCUCGGUUCUGCCGUGGACCAACCUCCCGCGAGUGUCACUGACAUCAGGCUCUUGGUUUUUGCCAUGCGAGCCCUGAGGCAGUGCUGCUCACCCGGCGGCUCCUGGUGCCUGAGCAGCCCAGCCCUGACGUGAAGGACUCCACAUCUGGAUGCAGUAGGAAAGCUUUCCUCAGGCUGCCACGGCCCUGGACCCCUGCUGCCUGGACAGGCGAGCAAAGCACCCCAAGCCCACCCCAGGGGCUCGACCCAGAGUCCUGCCAGCCUGCGGGAGCUCACGCAG